rnacentral:rRNA from 1 species
UGCCAGCAGCCGCGGUAAUACGGAGGAUCCAAGCGCUAUCCGGAAUCAUUGGGUUUAAAGGGUCCGUAGGUGGAUAAUUAAGUCAGAGGUGAAAUCCUGCAGCUCAACUGUAAAAUUGCCUUUGAUACUGGUGGUCUUGAGUUAUGGUGAAGUGGCUGGAAUAUGUAGUGUAGCGGUGAAAUGCAUAGAUAUUACAUAGAACACCGAUUGCGAAGGCAGGUCACUAACCAUAUACUGACGCUGAUGGACGAAAGCGUGGGGAGCGAACAGGAUUAGAUA